UCACCUCUCAAGCCUGGCUUGGUGUUGGACCGUGGGUCUGUGACCGGACCCUGGCCCCAAAGACAAUGACGGCGGCGGUAGGACCCUCGGCACACUGAGCUUCUCACCAAGCACGUGUCGAGUCGCAAGGUCCCUUCUGCCCGGUCUACCCUUUUCUCGCCGUGACCCGGCGAGGGAACACUUUCUCAA
rnacentral:misc_RNA from 1 species